AAAUUGAAGAGUUUGAUCAUGGCUCAGAUUGAACGCUGGCGGCAGGCCUAACACAUGCAAGUCGAGCGGCAGCGGGAAGUAGUUUACUACUUUGCCGGCGAGCGGCGGACGGGUGAGUAAUGUCUGGGAAACUGCCUGAUGGAGGGGGAUAACUACUGGAAACGGUAGCUAAUACCGCAUAACGUCUUCGGACCAAAGUGGGGGACCUUCGGGCCUCACGCCAUCGGAUGUGCCCAGAUGGGAUUAGCUAGUAGGUGGGGUAAUGGCUCACCUAGGCGACGAUCCCUAGCUGGUCUGAGAGGAUGACCAGCCACACUGGAACUGAGACACGGUCCAGACUCCUACGGGAGGCAGCAGUGGGGAAUAUUGCACAAUGGGCGAAAGCCUGAUGCAGCCAUGCCGAGUGUGUGAAGAAGUCCUUCGGGUUGUAAAGCACUUUCAG
rnacentral:rRNA from 1 species